rnacentral:tRNA from 1 species
GGGCGGGUAGUUUAACGGGAAAAAACGGCGUCGCGACGAUAAAAAACAGUUAGCCAGUUGUAGGUUCGAAUCCUACUCCGCCCU